UGCUAUCUUUAAAACGCCGACAACAGCUGGUCCGUAAUGCGUUUUAGUCCAUGGCAUAUGUACAAAUAUGUUUAAAUUGAUCUCAUUAAUUAUGUUAAAGAGCAUUUGGAUUGUGAAUUAAGGACGUAUUUAUGAAAAUCAUAAAUUGUUAGAUUUGCUUCCGGCAUGAAUAGUUCCUAACUAACCUACCUAUUGUAAUCUUUGCCUUAAUUUCAUUUUGUCAAACUAACCGUGAUGAGGGCGAGUUCCAAGAAGAGAGGCUCGGUGUUGAUGCAGCAAAAUCAUCUUCCUUCUUACGACCACCGUGUUCCUUGUAGUCGCGGAAGCAGCGCUUGCAGCGAGUCGGCCAUCGCACUUGCGGGUGGAAGCCCAAGGGACAGAGCGGAUCUCCUUUAGCCAUUGGAUACAUAUGGUGCAUCUUUAUUGAACCAAAUACACUAUUAUCAAAUGCAA